CAAUGGGAUUCGGGCUCCGCGGGAGGGCGGGAGGUUCUAGCGGGCGGGGCGGACCCGAACCAGUGGCUGAGGUACCGGUUGGUGGGGGGUUGAGAAAUGAAGAGUCGGUUCGCUUUACCCCGCUGUCAGGACGCCAGCCGGGACUGAGCGGGACGGUGGGGAAUCGGAGGCGCCCGGGGAAGCUGUUGGAAUGGCCUCCAAAGGGCAAAGUGAGGGUACAGAGCAUCCAUCUGAGCCUCCUGCAGCUCCUCUUCAGAGUAACGGAACAUUUCAAUGGGGAGCCAUACUCGCUGCCGUGAAAGAUCAGCUCCCCUCUCUGGACUCUGACACGUCCACAUCUGAUUGUGAGAGCGAUGGGGAGCUUUUCGUCUUCCAGCGGGAACAGCCGAACCUAAUUCCUGACCUGUCAGAAGAACUGAUGGAAUUUUCCCUGGAAGACUCAAACCUGCAGAAUAUUGAGAAGUGGGAUCUAGACAAGAUUCUUGAGGAGCUGGAGCAGCAGAAAGAAAACACUUGUGCAGAAGUUGCUUUGUCCUCAGCAGAUCAUGGGACCUUCAGGAGUAGGUCUGAAAAUCAGCUGAUGAAAAAGCUGGAAGAGCUGUCUGCCAGGCAUUCCAGGACCGUGCCUCCACGCUGCAGGUGGCCACCAGCCAAGCUCUCCUCCUUUCAAGAACAGCAAGAAAAUAAGAAGUAGGUUCUUUUCUGUCAGAUACACUGGGUAAUCAUGAUUGCCAGUAGGGAAACUAAUGGUGUUCUGUAGGUGUUUUUCUGUGUAGCCUCUGCAGAAAG
rnacentral:lncRNA from 1 species